AUACGUAGGUGGCAAGCGUUGUCCGGAAUUAUUGGGCGUAAAGCGCAUGUAGGCGGUUUGGUAAGUCGGUCGUGAAAAGGCGGUGCUUAACGCCGUAUGGCGAUAGAAACUGCUGAACUUGAGUGCAGGAGAGGAAAGGGGAACUCCCAGUGUAGCGGUGAAAUGCGUAGAUAUUGGGAAGAACACCGGUGGCGAAGGCGCCUUUCUGGACUGUGUCUGACGCUCAGAUGCGAAAGCCAGGGUAGCGAACGGGAUUAGAUACCCCGGUAGUCCUGGCCGUAAACGAUGGGUACUAGGUGUGGGAGGUAUCGACUCCUUCCGUGCCGGAGUUAACGCAAUAAGUACCCCGCCUGGGGAGUACGGCCGCAAGGCUUAAACUCAAAUGAAUUGGCGGGG
rnacentral:rRNA from 1 species